rnacentral:misc_RNA from 1 species
CAGAAUGUUCAGAGGCGGCUGCUGCUGGCGGAAAAAGAAAACCGCAUGUGCGCGUCGUCCUCGCCUUCAUCCAACACACACUUGUGCACCACAGGGCGAGCGCCUUCCAUGAGGAGCCGUCCCGCGUAACCCGAAAGGGGGGCGGGACUGAGGCCUCGAUCCCUUUUCCAUUACCACCGCCUGUCUUAUACGCAUGUGAUGAAUUUCUAACGAAAUA